UGGAGCUGUCUCCGGAAAUGUCCCCGUUUUUAACUGUGCGUUAAAAACAGACUGCAAAGUGAAAUAAUAUUUUACUUGGCAAGAAAGGCCGGGCAGCAAAGCCUACUGGUUGACGUCUCAAUCACGUUGUGCUUGUUUUGUCCCAGCAGGAGGGGCUGCUCGCUAUAUCAGCUUCAUUAUCUCUUCUACUGACUACUUGCUCGCGCUAGUUUUAGAGAAAACUGCUGUGGAAAACUCAGCCAAAGCUAGCAAGUGUCAAGUGAAUCCACAACAUCACUACAAACGUCUUUUCAAGCCAGCGGGGGAUCAACGGCAGUGGCAGAACAUCAACAGACGACAAAGCAUAAAGCCUAUCUGAUUGGCCAUGUUGGUAUGCCCUCUGUCACCACAUUCUUCAAGAAGGCACUGUGGAGUGGUAAAGUGGAUGACCCUGCUCCUGAUGACCUGACCUCCCAGGCAGUGGACAAGCUCAACAAAAACCUCCACAACGACCAGGGGAUCGAUCUGAGCAUGCUCACUGUGGGCGAUGGACUCACCCUGGCCAUCAAACGCUAAUCAAAUCAAAUCAAAUGUUAUUGGUCACAUACACAUGGUUAAUGUGAGUGUAGCGAAAUGCUUGUGCUUCUGGUUCUGACAGUGCAGUAUUAUCUAACAAGUAAUCUAACAAUUCCCCAACAACUACUUAAUACAUCUAAAAGGGGUGAAUGAGAAAAUGUACACAUAAAUAUAUGGAUGAGCGAUGGCCGAGGGGCAUAGGCAAGGUGCAACUAGAAGGUAUAAAAUACAGUAUGAUUCAUAUGAUAUGAGUAAUGUAAGAUAUGUAAACAUUAUUAAAGUGGCAUUGUAUAAAGUGACUAGUGAUCCAUUUGUUAAGGUGGCCAGUGAUUGGAUCUCCAUGUA